UAUAAUAGAAAGUAAUAUCUUGUAUUUAAUAAUUACUCAAUUAACUAAAGUUCUUGCACUUCAAAAUCUCAAGUUAGUUUGAAAAUUGAUCGCAAACAAAAAAAUAUAUAUAAAAAAAAUAAAGAGGUAUUUAAUAGAAAAAAGAGAUAAAAAAUUUAAAUAUUAGGUUUGUUUUUAAUUUUUUAAGACAAUGUUUGAUUGAUUGGACUCAAAAUAAAGAUAAUACUCACCAUAAAAUUAUUAGUGCUUAUAAGAUUUUUCAAAUAUGGUGAAUUGAAUACGGAGUCAAAAGGCUAAUCGCACUUGUUAAGAAUUUUGAAUCUUAUUAUUAAAAAACAACUUGAGCUUUCUUAUAAGAGUUAAUUUUGCUAUGCUUAUGGGUAAUAAAGGGUUUCAUACCUUGUUUGAAUUCAGAUCACAAGAAAUAUAUUUUAUGUGUUUAUUUAUGCAUUCCUAAUUUAUUCUUUUCAAACUUUAAGUUGUGUUUAUAUGUGCAUUCCUAAUUACAACUUAAAAGCGAAAUUUUAAGUUGUUUUUAUUCUUUUUAAAAUACUCAUAAAAAUAAGUUUUGUGUUUAUUUAUGUAAAUUACAUUUGCACUCUAUAUUUCUAUUAUACAAUUUACUUCUAAUGAUCAAAAUUUUUACAUAUUAAUUCAUGUGUCAAUGCGGCAUUUCUGUUCAUUUAUUAUUCAGUUAAGUGAGAAAUUGAGAUGCGUGACUUUGUAGAAAUAGCUCAUUAAUUACAACUUAAAGCGAAAUAAUUGAUUGACACGAUACGUGGUAGUUAGUACAAAAUAUAAUUUAAGUAAAAGUAUAAAGGGGGAGGUAGGGUAUUAAUUUUUCCAUAAUUCUACAUAAAAGUUUUUGGUGGGUGCAUUAUUCAAUAUAAAUAGUUGUGCAUUUGUCUAAUGAGUUGUUCAAAAAGCUUCAAUAAUAAGUCACUGGUUCUUUCUCCAUAUUUUCCAUGUUAAUAAUCUGUUGACCGUUCAAAGCCUCGUUUGCAAAGUCUUCCAGAUUUAUUUUCAUUCUCCAAUUUCUCUGCAAAUACGAUCGGAUCUCGUGUCUUGAAGGGAUUCAAUUUAUAAAUAGGUGGGUGAUUAAAAUCGACGCGUAUUAAUUAUACAACUUAAAUAUAUAAAUAAGAGAGAAAGAAAGAGGUGACUAUAGUCAUUCGACCACAACUAUUAUGUAGUAUAUGUUUAUUUUAAAAUUUUCGUAAACCACAAUUACUAUGUAGUAUAUAUUCAUUUUAAAAAUUUCGUAUAAAGUAACACCCCAUAUAGAUAUAAUUUUAGCUUGUCUUAAAGUAAAUGAACUUUAACCAUAUACUUGUAUGAACUAGGGGUGUUUACGGGUCGGGCGGAUCGGAUUUGAUAAAAAUCCGCCAACCGCCGAUAAGUCGGGUUGGCAAUUCCAUCCGAAUCCGACCCGAACGGAUCACGAAACCGCAAAUGAACGGAUUGGCGGGUUGCGGCCGGGUUGGUGGAUUUAUUCUAACUUGGAAUAGUAAUUUUUUUCUCAAUUUUAGUUCCAAUUAAAAAUUUGAUUAUAAACUCAUUUAGGCCACAAGCACAAAAAUUAUAAGAAAAUACCCUUAACGUUUGAAAAAUUACACUAACCUCCCCUGAGCGUUUAGGUUAAUUCAAAAGCACCCCUGUCAGAGUUGUCCCUUUGUAAAAGUACUACUUUGCCCGCACACUUAUAAAAAAAGUACUAUAUUGCACUUUUGCCCUCUCUCUCUCUCCUCUCUUUAGUUUGUUUCUUUGUUUAUUGUUUUUUUAAUAAUUUUUAUAUUUUUUUAUUAAUCUAUUCUUUUUUAUCAGUGUUAUUUGUCUGUUUGGGUAAACAGUUUUUUUGUUAGAAAAUUAACCAUUUUAACCUUUUUUUAACAUCCAAUAACAAAGGAUAAAUUAUGCUAACAAUCCUUGAAGAUUUGGGUUAAACACAAACAUAGUUUAUAUUGUAUUUUUAACUAAUCUUUUUUUGAUACUUUUGGCUUAGAUUAAACUAGUUUUUUGAUUCUUUUUAAAAAAUAAACUACUUGAUUUUUUAGUUUUUUAUUUUAGUGAAUAUUUUUAACUCUUUUAUUAAAAUAUUAAGUAGCGAAAACUAUAUAAAUUUUAAAUUUUUAAACGAAUACUACUAUAAUAAAUAUAGUUUUUCAAAGCGGGGUAUAAGAGGUCCUCUCCCUCCCCCCAGUUUCAUCCUGGUUGACGUGCAAAACAUAUAAAACAAUGAGAAGCAAGUAUGGCAUAUCAUGAGUAGUAAUAAUUCCAAAAUACAUUGGAAACUAAUAAAAUUAAAAAAAAAGUGUAUGCCUCUUACUCUCCUUAAAAGUAAAAAAAUUACAUACCUCAGGGAAAAUGGAUUCCAAAAACUUAGGAAAGACCAAUAUUCUAUUAAGUGACCAUUAUAGACUUCCAGUUAAGAUAUUUGUCACUUAAUUAAUUUUACUUCCUAUAUGGUAGUAACACAUCAACAUAUAUACUUUUAUUACUGAAUUGUCUCUAUCUCUAAACCAUUUUUAAUCAAAAUAAUUAAAAAUAUUUACUAAAAUAAAAAACUAAAAAAUCAAAGUGACUAUUUUUUUUAAAAAAUAAAAAAUUAGUUUAAUCUAAACCAAAAGUAUAAAAAAAAAAUUAGAUUAGUUAAAAUAACAAAUAUAAACUAUGUUUGUGUAUUAAACUCAAAUCUCAGGGGGGCGGUUAGCGUAAUUUAUCCUUUUUUAAUUGGAUGUUAAAAAAAAAAGAAAAAGGUAAAUUUUCAACAAAAAAUCUUGUUUACCCAAAAAGAAAAAUAAAACUGAUAAAAAAAAUAAAUAUAUUUAAUAAAAAAAUAUAAAAAAUUAUUAAAAAAAACUAAUAAAAAAAACUAAUAAAAAAACUAAAAGAGAGAGAGAGAGAGAGAGAGAGAGAGAGGGCAAAGUGACAUAAUUGUCCAUAGGUGUGAGGACAAAGUAGUAAUUUUAUAAGGUGACAAAUUCUGACAGGGUAACCUGAAACCUCAGGAGAGGUCGAGUAUAAUUUACCAUUUUUUUUUAUAUUUUAACCCCUAACCUAAUAUUCUUGUUCCACCCUUGUAUAAACGUACUUGAUAUAUUUUCCACUAAUUCAAACAAUUUAUACCAUCAGGUUGCUUAUAAAAAACACUUGUUACGACUCCAAAAUUUGGGAUCCUUCCUGUAUUGAAGGGUUUCAAUUUAUAUAUAGGUGGGUGAUUAAAAUGAAUAUUCACACAGUAAAGUUUUUAUAUUUUUUUAUCUUUAUAGUUUUCUAGUCCUUGCGUUCCCAAGUUUUAAAUUAGUUUGUUUUUCUAGCUAUUUAGUUAUGCAUGAUUGGUGUGUUCUUAUUUUUAAUAAUUUUUCAAUUUGUGAUCUAUUUCUUUUAGUUCAAGUUAGUAGAGUUAACUGAAAAAUUUUAAAAAUUGAAAACAAUUCACAAAAAUCGAAAAUAAGGCAAAAUUUUGCUACAACCUUUUCUGUGUUCUAGUAAUUUUAUUUUAGAAGUUCUUUUAACUUUUUCAUUUUUUCUAGGACCUCCAAUAUUUUAUCAAAAAAACAGUACUCGUCCUAUAUUUGUGCAUGAUUACAUUUUUUAAUGAAGUCAGAUUUUUACCUGUUGUAUCAGGUUUUCUUAUUGGAAUUAUAGAAUGAUGACUUUGGACAAAUAGAAUGGGGGUAAUUUAAAUAUUCUUCUAUGUGCUUGUUUAUACAUAUACUCUCGUUUUAUUGUGUGUUAUGCGCCUCCUUUACAGGUGGGUAAUUAAAUAUUAAAGAAAAAUAAAAACAAAAAAUUAAUAAGAAAUUAAAAGAAUUCAAGGAAGUACAAGACACCAAAAGUCCAAACCAUGCAAAGGUUCACUACAAAAGUUGAGACAAUUGCACAUUUAAUAGGACACUAGUGUCCAUCCUAUUGGUUCAAAAUUUUGAGCUGUUUUAAAAUUUUUAUUCCUUUAAAAAAGUCAAUAUCGAGAGAAAAAUAUUAUAGAUUUUCUUUUUACUCUUUCAGUUUUUUUAAAUUGAUGUGACAAUUCUAAUUUUUCACUUUUGGUAAUUUUAAGUGAUGAAGAUAUUUUAAAAAGGUUUUAAAAAUUAAAGUGUAGUUUUAUUAUCCUUUUAAAAAAUUAAGUUCUCCAUUCCAAAAUAGACAAAAGAAACUAGGAUGGGUGAUAUUAAUAGUCUGUUAAUCAAAGUCUGGCAGGUUUCGGUUUAAAGGUCUAGUAACUGCCAAAAACGUUAAACUUUGAUACACAAUUACAUAUUUUAAUGCAAACUUUCACAUAUUUAUAUAUAUUUAUUCUAUAGCUUAAAACAAUUAUCAUUAAGGAUGGGCGGUCGGGUAUUUUGCACGUCUCCAAACUCAGACCUACCUAUUUCAGCCUCGAACCCGCCUCGUUACUCAAGAUGGCUAUUCCAACCCCCGCCCACCCCGCAAACCUCAAAAAUUUUAAAAAACUUUUCAAACUAACAAAAUUAUACUAAAAAUGAAAGCCAAAUAAUUACUUGGUCACCGAUGAAUUAAUUUAGCUAUAAUUAUGGCUUAAUAAGUUUCUUGUUGACAAAAUUGAAUUCUUUCCUUGUCCAUCUCUAUGGUGGGACCGUGGGAGUAGGUUGAACAUAUUUAACUUUUCUUUAUCUAAGCACAAAGUCUGAGGAGUGAGAUGUUGCCUCCUUAAACCAUCAAGGAAUGGGUCUUCAAAAAUCCUAUUAUAAUAAUUAUGUUGCACAUUUUGGUAGGAGGGAGUAGCUACUGUCAAGUUAGCUACUGUCAAGUUCUUUCCAUAACAGGCUUCCUUCCCUGCAAAAUCCUCAUCAAAAUUGUCAUCAAACACUUUAUUGAUUCCGAAAAAUACCAAAAAAUUUAAAAAAAAAAGAGAAUAUUUUCUCUGAUCAUAGAAUGACGUGGUAUUCAUAGUGGUACGCAUGCCAACAUUGAACAAGUACACGAAUGCAAUGAGGCUGUGAUAGAGUGUUCAUUUACAUCAAAUAUUAUUUCAGAUC
rnacentral:lncRNA from 1 species